GUUAUUGUCCAGUGUGGAUUUUUUUCAAAGAGUGCAGAUCUGGACACUGGAUGGGACAGCCCUGGGAAAGUGCUAAGAAGAGUCUUUCACCUUUGAUGAAAGGGUAAAAAAUGCUGGGCAUCAGCAGUGGGAGAGAGGAGAGAGAAAAAAAUGUGAGAGAAGCAGCCCUGCAGACACCAAAGUCAGUGAAGAAGGAGAGGGAGGAGGUGCUCCAGGCACCAGAGCAGAGAUUCCCCCACAGCCUUUGGAGAAGACCAUGGUGACGUACAUUGUCCUGCAGCUUACAGAGGACCACGUUGGAGCACAUAGCCACCCUGGGGCCUGUGGAGAAUCCUACGCUGCAGCACUGGAUAUGCCCUGAAGAAGCUGCAGCCCAUGGAGAGGAGCCCCUGCAGGAGCGUUUUUUCUGGCAGGAACUGUGGCACGCAGGGGACCUAUGCUGGAGCAGUGUUUUGCUGAAAGACUGUACCCUGUGGAAAGGCCUCCAUGAUGGACCAUUUCUUGAAGAACUGCAGCCUCUGGGAGGGACCCCACGAUGGAGCAGGGGAACAGUGUGAGGAGGAAGGAGUGGCAGAGAUGCAGUGUUAGGAGCUUACCACAACCUCCAUUGCCCAUCCCCCUGUGCUACUGGGGUGGGAUGGAGGUGGAACUGUCAGAAUUGAAGGAGUGAAGUUGAGCCAGAGAAGAACGGGGGCUGAAGGGAAGGUGGUAUUAGUUUUGUCUUUGUUUCUCACCAUCCUACUGUAUUUUUAAUUGGCAAUAAAUUUAAUUAAUCUUCCCCAAGUCGAGUC